rnacentral:ncRNA from 1 species
UGAAAAACUUUGAUGAAGAAUGAAAAAAUGAAUUCCAUUUAAGAGAACUAGUGGUUGGUGUGAACUAGUAUGGAGCAUUUUCGAUAGCGCUUCGGAGUUAGUGUAUUGAACUUAAGUAAGUACACUCGGUUAAUCCGUUAUCUUGGAUUGUUAUCCACAAGUUGCAUGCUUUAGCAUGAAUGAGGGUGGUACCGCGGUUCAAACCUUCCGCCCCUCAC